rnacentral:rRNA from 1 species
UACGUAGGGUGCAAGCGUUAAUCGGAAUUACUGGGCGUAAAGCGUGCGCAGGCGGUUGUGCAAGACAGAUGUGAAAUCCCCGGGCUCAACCUGGGAAUUGCAUUUGUGACUGCACGGCUAGAGUGUGUCAGAGGGGGGUAGAAUUCCAGGUGUAGCGGUGAAAUGCGUAGAUAUCUGGAGGAAUACCGGUGGCGAAGGCGGCAUCCUGGACCAUUACUGACGCUGAGGCGCGAAAGCUAGGGGAGCAAACAGG